GAUGAACGCUGGCGGCGUGCCUAAUACAUGCAAGUCGAGCGAACAGACGAGGAGCUUGCUCCUUUGACGUUAGCGGCGGACGGGUGAGUAACACGUGGAUAACCUACCUAUAAGACUGGGAUAACUUCGGGAAACCGGAGCUAAUACCGGAUAACAUUUUGAACCGCAUGGUUCAACAGUGAAAGACGGUCUUGCUGUCACUUAUAGAUGGAUCCGCGCCGCAUUAGCUAGUUGGUAAGGUAACGGCUUACCAAGGCAACGAUGCGUAGCCGACCUGAGAGGGUGAUCGGCCACACUGGAACUGAGACACGGUCCAGACUCCUACGGGAUGCAGCAGUAGGGAAUCUUCCGCAAAGGGCGAAAGCCUGACGGAGCAACGCCGCGUGAGUGAAGAAGGUCUUCGGAUCGUAAAACUCUGUUAUUAGGGAAGAACAAAUGUGUAAGUAACUAUGCACGUCUUGACGGUACCUAAUCAGAAAGCCACGGCUAACUACGUG
rnacentral:rRNA from 1 species